rnacentral:rRNA from 1 species
UAAGGAAUAUUGGACAAUGGACGCAAGUCUGAUCCAGCCAUGCCGCGUGAAGGAUGAAUGCCCUCUGGGUUGUAAACUUCUUUUAUAGGGGAAGAAAGAUACUUUUUUUAAGGUAGUUGACGGUACCCUAUGAAUAAGCACCGGCUAACUCCGUGCCAGCAGCCGCGGUAAUACGGAGGGUGCAAGCGUUAUCCGGAUUUACUGGGUUUAAAGGGUGCGUAGGCGGGCAUGUAAGUCAGUGGUGAAAUACCGGAGCUUAACUUCGGAACUGCCAUUGAUACUAUAUGUCUUGAAUAUUGUGGAGGUAAGCGGAAUAUGUCAUGUAGCGGUGAAAUGCAUAGAUAUGACAUAGAACACCGAUUGCGGAGGCAGCUUGCUACGCAGAUAUUGACGCUGAGGCACAAAAGCGUGGGGAUCAAACA